rnacentral:misc_RNA from 1 species
AAGUCGUAACAAGGUCUCCGUAGGUGAACCUGCGGAGGGAUCAUUACUGAGUGAGGGCGCAAGCCCGACCUCCAACCCUUUGUGAACCAACUCUGUUGCUUCGGGGGCGACCCCGCCGUUUCGGCGACGGCGCCCCCGGAGGUCAUCAAACACUGCAUCUUUGCGUCGGAGUCUUAAAGUAAAUUUAAACAAAACUUUCAACAACGGAUCUCUUGGUUCUG